rnacentral:rRNA from 1 species
GACGGAGGAUGCAAGUGUUAUCCGGAAUCACUGGGCGUAAAGCGUGCGCAGGCGGUUCGCUAAGACAGAUGUGAAAUCCCCGGGCUUAACCUGGGAACUGCAUUUGUGACUGGCGGGCUAGAGUAUGGCAGAGGGGGGUAGAAUUCCACGUGUAGCAGUGAAAUGCGUAGAGAUGUGGAGGAAUACCGAUGGCGAAGGCAGCCCCCUGGGCCAAUACUGACGCUCAUGCACGAAAGCGUGGGGAGCAAACAGG